rnacentral:rRNA from 1 species
UUUAAAUUUAGAGUUUGAUCCUGGCUCAGGACGAACGCUGGCGGCGUGCUUAACACAUGCAAGUCGAGCGAUGAAACUUCCUUCGGAAAGUGGAUUAGCGGCGGACGGGUGAGUAACACGUGGGUAACCUGCCUCAAAGUGGGGGAUAGCCUUCCGAAAGGAAGAUUAAUACCGCAUAAUAUAAGAGAAUCGCAUGAUUUUUUUAUCAAAGAUUU